CUUGUCUGCAGGUUUUGGAGACCCCAGUCCACUAAUAAAUCAAAGCCUGCCAGUGUGUGGAUGUCUUCAAGCUUGACUACGUCCGUCGUCUGCCACAGCAGUAAAGGAAUCUGAAGAUGAAAAUCUACAUCGUGCUUAUCCUGGCCCUUGUAGCCCUCACCAGUGCUAACGAGAUAGACAAGCGACAAUUAAUCGACAUCUCAGGCUUGGCACAUAAGAUUGAAACUUACCUAGAGCAGCAUGGUAAAGAACUUACGGGUGCGGCAUGCACGGCGGCGUGCGAUGUAAUGACUGAUGGCAUUGCGAUUUCUCUGUGUGGUGUAGCAUGCUCACUCCUUGGUGUUCACAAAUGAGGAGAUUCAGAUUGCAGCCUCCGGUUUCAGUCAAAACAUUCUCCCUGGAACCAAAGUGAAAUAAAUAUUUGAAAGUAACAAC
rnacentral:lncRNA from 1 species